CAUCGGGUAGAGGGAAAAGGAGCAAUCCGCUUUGAGAUGGCCUCGCGUCCGAUUAGCUAGUUGGUGAGGUAACGGCCCACCAAGGCGACGAUCGGUAGCCGGACUGAGAGGUUGAACGGCCACAUUGGGACUGAGACACGGCCCAGACUCCUACGGGAGGCAGCAGUGGGGAAUAUUGCACAAUGGGGGAAACCCUGAUGCAGCGACGCCGCGUGGAGGAAGAAGGUCUUCGGAUUGUAAACUCCUGUUGUUGAGGAAGAUAAUGACGGUACUCAACAAGGAAGUGACGGCUAACUACGUGCCAGCAGCCGCGGUAAAACGUAGGUCACAAGCGUUGUCCGGAAUUACUGGGUGUAAAGGGAGCGCAGGCGGGAAGACAAGUUGGAAGUGAAAUCCAUGGGCUCAACCCAUGAACUGCUUUCAAAACUGUUUUUCUUGAGUAGUGCAGAGGUAGGCGGAAUUCCCGGUGUAGCGGUGGAAUGCGUAGAUAUCGGGAGGAACACCAGUGGCGAAGGCGGCCUACUGGGCACCAACUGACGCUGAGGCUCGAAAGUGUGGGUAGCAAACAGGAUUAGAUACCCUGGUAGUCCACACCGUAAACGAUGAAUACUAGGUGUUGGAGGAUUGACCCCUUCAGUGCCGCAG
rnacentral:rRNA from 1 species